rnacentral:ncRNA from 1 species
CCGCCUAGUGUUAAUAUAUCAAUGGUGAGAUAUAUUGAUGCAAGACUAUCAAAUUGCGGGAACCUCCUAAAGUUCAUGCUACUACUCCAGUUGGGAAACCUUCUGCGAGAACCCGAGUUAAUAGCCCUGGGCAUAGUAAAAAUGUAUGAAAUGACUUUUGAUUCAAUCAAAACAAAAUGGACAAUCCGCAGCCAAGUGCUAACCCACGCAAGUGGUAUGCAUGCUGUUCAACGACCAAAUGGUAGCGGUACUUAUUCAAAGUGCUUAAGUUAUGGUCUACCCCGAUACGAAAGUAUUGA